GACGAACGCUGACGGUGUGCUUUAGACAUGCAAGUCGAAACGCGAAAGCCCUUCGGGGUUAGUAGAGUGGCGAACGGGUGAGUAACACGUGGGCAAUCUGCCCCUCGCAGGGGGACAACCGGAGGAAACUCCGGCUAAUACCCCGUACGCUUGCGGAACCGCAUGGUACCGCAAGGAAAGGUAGCUUCGGCCAUCCGGCGAGGGAUGAGCCCGCGGUGCAUUAGCUAGUUGGUGGGGUAACGGCCCACCAAGGCGACGAUGCAUAGCUGGUCUGAGAGGAUGAUCAGCCACACUGGGACUGAGACACGGCCCAGACUCCCUACGGGAGGCAGCAGGUGGGGAAUCUUGCGCAAUGGGCGAAAGCCUGACGCAGCGA
rnacentral:rRNA from 1 species